rnacentral:rRNA from 1 species
UGUAUGCUUCUCCUAAAGACUAAGCCAUGCAUGCCUCCGAAUAGAAGAGCAAAUCUCUCUGAAUCUGCGAACGGCUCCGCAAACCAGUUGUAAACCAUAGCAAGCAUGCCUUGGGCCCGCCGCGAGGUGGGUCCUUGGCUAUAGGGAUAACCCUGGUAAUUCUGAGGCUAAUACAUGAACGUAACCCCUGGCUGACGGGCAACCGGACGCUGGGGACCGUGCGGGUAGGCGCAUCAUUUUAUUGGGAAUAGUCGCACAGUACGACCACCAUACCAAACGGUAUCCGCUUCGCUGCCUCACGGCGGCACGGUGGUGUCCGGGUGGCUCUUGCAAGGUGCUUCUGACCUAUCAACUAGAUGGCAGCGUAAGGGACAUGCUAUGGUGACAACGGGUACAGAGGAUAAGGGUUCGAUCCUGGAGAGUGGGCCUGAGAGAUUGCUCACACUUCUAAGGAAGGCAGCAGGCGCGCAACGUUCCCCUUGGGCAAUGCUCGAGGGCGUUAGGGGACAUAUGAAUGCCUGCCUUUUGGUGGGCAAUUCAAAUGGGUCUGUUCUAAACAGCCUCUCGAGUAACAAUUAGAGGACAAGUCUGGUGCCAGCACCCGCGGUAAUUCCAGCUCUAAUAGCAUACGUUAAAGUUGUUGCGGUUAAAACGCUCGUAGUCGGCGCCAGAUCUUCAGAGUCUUGCGUUGGGGACCGGUCCGUUGCCCCGGUCAAGGGCACGCCGGCGACUGACAAGGGAGGACGUCGAUCAAAAGUGCCUGUGGCUGCUCCCUUCGGGGAUCGCAGGGUUGGGGGCUCUGCCCUCGGCCCGGCCCGGGUGCCUUGUACCAUGACCAAACCGGGGUGAUCAAAGCAUGUCUUUCGACACGUACGGCGCAGCAUGGUAUAGCUAUACUGGCCUUGCCCUAUAUGCGGGGGCUCGGUUGGUAAAGGCGAAAGGGAUGUUCGAGGGUGACCGAAUUGCUGGGCGAGUGGUGAAAUACGUUGACCCUAGCAAGUCGACCAAAGGCGAAAGCAGUCAUCAAGGGCAUACCCGUUGAUCAAGAGCGAAAGUUAAGGGUUCGAAGACGAUCAGAUACCGUCGUAGUCUUAACUAUAAAUGAUGCAACCAGGGAUAGGACACUGUCCAUCUCGACUCCUCCUGAACUUCGAGAAAUUACAGUCUUUGGGUUCUGGGGGGAGUAUGGUCGCAAGGCUGAAACUUAAAGGAAUUGACGGAAGGGCACACAAAGAGUGGAACCUGCGGCUUAAUUUGACUCACACGGGAAAACUCACCAGGUCCGGAUACACGUAUGAAAGUCAAGCUGAAAGACUUUACUCAAUGAUGUAAGUGGUGGUGCAUGGUCGUUCUUAGUUCGUGGAUUGAUUUGUCUGGUCUAUUCCGAUAACGAGCGAGACCCCAUCGUUCCUAAUAGGGGCGGUUAGCCCGCCGGCCGCAAGGCUGGUAGCUUCCGCUUAAGAAUUGCUUCUUAGACGUAUCAGAGCCGAUAAGGUUCUUGAAAUGGGUUAAUAACAGGUCAGUCAUGCCCUUAGAUGUUCUGGGCCGCACGCGCGUUACAAUGGCAUGUAAAGCAAGUGCUUGAAAAGGCGUCUCCGGGGCCGAAAGGUCCUGGUAACCCUUAGUCCCUGCCUUGACUGGGACAGAUCUUUGCAAUUAUUGGUCUCCAACGAGGAAUUUUUAGUAGUCGUAGGUCAUUAACCUACGACGAAUGCGUCCCUGCCCUUUGUACACACCGCCCGUCGCUGCUACCGAUUGGGUUUUACAGUUACGUGUUUGGAGGUGCUGGCGUCCUGCUUGCUUCACGGUAGGUGGGUGCCGGUGCUGAAAUUCCAAUUACUGUGCGGCCUAGAGGAAGCAGAAGUCGUAACAAGGUAAUCGUAG